CGAAAACGAAUUCUCUCUUGAGUGGAUCCUGAGUACGACGGAGCACGUGAAAUUCCGUCGGAAUCUGGGAGGACCAUCUCCUAAGGCUAAAUACUCUCUAGUGACCGAUAGUGAACCAGUACCGUGAGGGAAAGGUGAAAAGUACCCCGGAAGGGGAGUGAAAGAGAACUUGAAACCGUGUGCUUACAAGUAGUCAGAGCCCGUUAAUGGGUGAUGGCGUGCCUUUUGUAGAAUGAACCGGCGAGUUACGAUCUGAUGCAAGGUUAAGCAGAAAAUGUGGAGCCGUAGCGAAAGCGAGUCUGAAUAGGGCGAAUGAGUAUUUGGUCGUAGACCCGAAACCAGGUGAUCUACCCUUGGUCAGGUUGAAGUUCAGGUAACACUGAAUGGAGGACCGAACCGACUUACGUUGAAAAGUGAGCGGAUGAACUGAGGGUAGCGGAGAAAUUCCAAUCGAACUUGGAGAUAGCUGGUUCUCUCCGAAAUAGCUUUAGGGCUAGCCUCAAGUGAUGAUUAUUGGAGGUAGAGCACUGUUUGGACGAGGGGCCCCUCUCGGGUUACCGAAUUCAGACAAACUCCGAAUGCCAAAUAAUUUAACUUGGGAGUCAGAAUGUGGGUGAUAAGGUCCAUAUUCGAAAGGGAAACAGCCCAGACCACCAGCUAAGGUCCCAAAAUAUAUGUUAAGUGGAAAAGGAUGUGGCGUUGCCCAGACAACUAGGAUGUUGGCUUAGAAGCAGCCAUCAUUUAAAGAGUGCGUAAUAGCUCACUAGUCGAGUGACACUGCGCCGAAAAUGUACCGGGGCUAAACAUAUUACCGAAGCUGUGGAUUGUCCUUUGGACAAUGGUAGGAGAGCGUUCUAAGGGCGUUGAAGCAUGAUCGCAAGGACAUGUGGAGCGCUUAGAAGUGAGAAUGCCGGUGUGAGUAGCGAAAGACGGGUGAGAAUCCCGUCCACCGAUUGACUAAGGUUUCCAGAGGAAGGCUCGUCCGCUCUGGGUUAGUCGGGUCCUAAGCUGAGGCCGACAGGCGUAGGCGAUGGAUAACAGGUUGAUAUUCCUGUACCACCAUUAUUCGUUUUAAGCGAUGGGGGGACGCAGUAGGAUAGGCGAAGCGUGCUGUUGGAGUGCACGUCCAAGCAGUGAGAUUGAGUGUUAGGCAAAUCCGGCACUCUUAAGAUUGAGCUGUGAUGGGGAGAGGAACUUGUUCCUCGAGUCGUUGAUUUCACACUGCCGAGAAAAGCCUCUAGCUAGAAUAACGGUGCCCGUACCGCAAACCGACACAGGUAGUCAAGAUGAGAAUUCUAAGGUGAGCGAGCGAACUCUCGUUAAGGAACUCGGCAAAAUGACCCCGUAACUUCGGGAGAAGGGGUGCUCUUUGAGGUUCACGCUUCGAAGAGCCGCAGUGAAUAGGCCCAAGCGACUGUUUAUCAAAAACACAGGUCUCUGCUAAACCGUAAGGUGACGUAUAGGGGCUGACGCCUGCCCGGUGCUGGAAGGUUAAGAGGAGUGGUUAGCGCAAGCGAAGCUACGAAUCGAAGCCCCAGUAAACGGCGGCCGUAACUAUAACGGUCCUAAGGUAGCGAAAUUCCUUGUCGGGUAAGUUCCGACCCGCACGAAAGGCGUAACGAUUUGGGCACUGUCUCAACGAGAGACUCGGUGAAAUCAUAGUACCGGUGAAGAUGCCGGUUACCCGCGACAGGACGGAAAGACCCCGUGGAGCUUUACUGUAGCCUGAUAUUGAAAUUCGGUACAGUUUGUACAGGAUAGGUAGGAGCCUUAGAAGCGUGAGCGCUAGCUUACGUGGAGGCAUUGGUGGGAUACUACCCUAAUUGUAUUGGAUUUCUAACCCGCAGCACUUAUCGUGCUGGGAGACAGUGUCAGGCGGGCAGUUUGACUGGGGCGGUCGCCUCCUAAAGAGUAACGGAGGCGCUCAAAGGUUCCCUCAGAAUGGUUGGAAAUCAUUCAUAGAGUGUAAAGGCAUAAGGGAGCUUGACUGCGAGACCUACAAGUCGAGCAGGGUCGAAAGACGGACUUAGUGAUCCGGUGGUUCCGCAUGGAAGGGCCAUCGCUCAACGGAUAAAAGCUACCCCGGGGAUAACAGGCUUAUCUCCCCCAAGAGUUCACAUCGACGGGGAGGUUUGGCACCUCGAUGUCGGCUCAUCGCAUCCUGGGGCUGUAGUCGGUCCCAAGGGUUGGGCUGUUCGCCCAUUAAAGCGGUACGCGAGCUGGGUUCAGAACGUCGUGAGACAGUUCGGUCCCUAUCCGUCGUGGGCGUAGGAAAUUUGAGAGGAG
rnacentral:rRNA from 1 species